rnacentral:rRNA from 1 species
AUACGGAGGGUGCGAACGUUGCUCGGAAUUAUGGGGCGUAAAGCACAUGUAGGCGGCGCAGCAAGUUGGAUGUGAAAGCCCAGGGCUCAACCCUGGAAGUGCAUCCAAAACUGCUGUGCUUGAGUUCCGGAGGGGCCCAGAGAAUUCCCGGUGUAGAGGUGAAAUUCGUAGAUAUCGGGAGGAAUACCAGUGGCGAAGGCGCUGGGCUGGACGGAUACUGACGCUGAGAUGUGAAAGCGUGGGGAGCAAACAGGAUUAGAAACCCGAGUAGUCC